rnacentral:lncRNA from 1 species
AAAAAAGUGAACAAAAACAUUUAAAUUUUAACAACCUGGAAGGUGACCCAAGUGCACCACGAGAAAAACAAACACAACAGAGAAAACAGGUAGGAGUUGGUGGACAUGGGGUCCCUGGGAUAAGGGAGGCGAUAAUCGGGAGUAACUGGGAGUAAAAUAAGGGGGUCGGGUUAAGGGGAAUGAGAACAGGGAGUAAAGGGGAGGGAUUGUUAGCUCAAGUUGAUAUUAAAAGAAGGGAAGUGGUGAUUGCUACCCCUUGUCAAACCCCUCCCGUCCACCAUCUUUUAGGGAGUAUUUUAUAAACGUCUUCGGGUUUUCUAUUGACACGUAGACAAAUUGCUUUGAUUUCGCG